rnacentral:lncRNA from 1 species
AAAUACAUUUGUCCUAUGUACGAGGAUGUAAUUACAGCACUGUACUAUUUCUAUUGGUAUAAAACGGAGAAGAUACCAUGUAAAUCUCAGUAAAUGUAAACCUUAGAAAACAGAAAUAAAACAUAAUUUCCACUUUCAAAGGUUUUUAUGACUUGAGUAGACAAAGAGAGGUUGACUUGUGAUUUUCUCACGUUGGUGAUGAGUUUUUGAGUACAUAGGUAAUAUAAGUGAAACUUUGGUUUUACAAUAGUGUACAAAAAGGGUGUGAAAACUAAGAAAUUGGGGAGAUUGGCAAAUAGGCAUCUGCAAUUGUAGGUGCAUGAAGUUAUUAAACUUAAUGGUAUAUUCAACUCCAUAAAAUAGAAAACUUUAUCAAUCAAAAAUAUUUAAAUAUUGGCAAUUGCAAAUGAUUUAAGUAAAUUAAUGGAAGGAGAAAUGACUCUUCUUUUUACCUGAAACAGUUCAAUGUAUUAUAGGUAUAUUUGUGAAAUACAGCCUAAAUUAAUAAAAUAAAACAUGAUAAUUUAUAGGAGCCAAGAGUAAUCAUUUAAAAAGAAAACAUUGAACUGAAUUAAGAUAUUUGUUGAGGUCAGUGUUGGGGGAUACUUCUAGAGCACUAAAAGGACAUUAUAAUCAUCUUCUGCAGGUUGUUCAUGUAUUUCAUUUCCAGUAAAGUGUGGUCAAGACUUUUUUAGUCCUAUGAUGGUUUUAUUGGAUCUAUACUGGUGAAAAAAAAAUCCUUGUCUACAGAAAAAAUUCGUAAGCUUAGAAUGAUUAAUAUACUGUCUCAUUAACAUAGAUUAUGGAGGUUGAAAUUUAACUAGUGUUUUCUUUUUUUUUUUUUUGAGGUGGAAUCUUGCUCUGUUGCCCAGGCUGGAGUGCAGUGGAGAGACCUCAGCUCACUGCCAGCUCUGCCUCCUGGGUGCACACCAUUAUCCUGCUCAGCCUCCCAAGUAGCUGGGACUACAGGCGCCCACCACCACGCCUGGCUAAGUUUUUGUGUUUUUAGUACAGACGGGGUUUCACCGUGGUAGCCAGGAUGGUCUCAAUCUCCUGACUUCAUGAUCCACCUGCCUCGGCCUCCCUAAUAAUAUUUUUAAACACAGUUAACCAGUUUCACAGUGAUAUUUGACUAGAAGCAUUUGGUGUCAUGUUACUGACUAACAGUAUGCAGAUAAUUUUUCUAUUUGGGGAAAAGAAUCAGUAAGGAAAGGCUGUAGAUUUAGUGAGGCUAAUGUUUAGGAGUUAUUCUUUGAAUUUUAAGAAACACAUGAAUAAAACAUAGAAAUUUUUUUUCUACACUGGGUAUGAAAUGAUAGUCAUCUUAACUAGGAUGAAAAAAAUGGGAAAUAAAAAUUAUAUAUAUAAAAAAACAGAAUGGUGAAAAACAUUCAGAUUACUUGAUAAGUAAAGAGAAACACUCCAUUUCAAGUUGCAAAAAUAAGAUUUACAGGAAUGAGCAUUUAGGUAUCCAAAAGGUUCUCAGAGAUUUGAACAAUUUUUAGGCAGUAUAAGAAAUUUUAUUAUACUUAUGGUAAACAAAUUUAUUUAAAAGCUAUAUUUGUUGUUAGUUUGUGACCCAGGGACAUGCUCUGAUCACAUUUUAAAACUUUAGAAAAUAGCAUUGACAUUAGCUUGACAGAUGGAGUGAGCUAUGAUCCCAGAAAUGACUGCAACAGCCCAGUCAAGGAAUGAUAAAUGAUUACACUAAUAAUGUUGUAGUUAAUGGAGUGCAAGUAAUGGAUACAAGUGAUAGGAAAGAAUAUCCUUUGGAUUUGUCCAUAUGUUAUACAAGGUAUGUGGGAAAGAAAAGACUUGGAGAUGAUGCUGAGGUUUGUAACUGGCAUGGAUAAACAGGUGGUGAUACUGUUAACGUAGAAGAAGACAAAUAAAUAAAAAGCUGUGUGUUUUCUGUUACCGUGAAAUUACCACAUAAUAAGUGUCCUAAAAACAACAUGACUUAUUAUUUUAUAGUUGUGGAAGUAAGAUGUCCAAAAUGAGUCUCACUGGUCUAAAAUCAAGGUGUUAGCAGGAUUACAUUCCUUCUGGACAUUCUAAAAAUUCUGUUUCCUUGCAUUUUCCAAAUUCUAGACUCUGUUCAUAUUCCUUAGCUGAAGUGGCCUAGCUCUGUGUCCCCACCCAAAUCGCAUCUCGAAUUUUAAUCCAAAUUGUAAUUCCCACAUUUUGGGGGAGGGAACCUCAUGAAAGGAGAUUAGAUCAUUGGGGCUGUCUUCCCAUGCUGUUCUCAUGACAGUGAGUGCAUUCUCAGGAGAUCUGACGGUUUUAUAAGGGGCCUUUUCCCCACUGCACUUCACUCUCCUGCGGCUGUGUGAAGAAGAACGUAUUUGCUUCCCUUUCUGCCAUGACUGUAAGUCUCCUGAGGCCUCACCAUACAUGCAUAACUGUGAGUCAAUUAAACCUCUUUCCUUUAUAAAUUACCCAGUCUUGGGCAUUUCUUCAUUGCAACAUGACAAUGAACUAAUAUAGUAAAUUGGUACCAGGAGUGGGAUGCUGCUAUAAAGAGAUCCAAAAAUGUGGAAGCAACUGUGGAACUGAGUAAUAGGCAGAGAUUAGAGCAGUUUGGAAGGCUCAGAAGGAGACAGGAAAAUGUGGGAAAGUUUGGAACUUCCUAGAGACUUUGUUGAAUGUCUUUGACCAAAAUGCUGAUAGUGAUAUGGGCAAUAAAGUCCAGACUGAACUGGUCUCAGAUGGAGAUGAAGAACUUGUUGGAAGCUGGAAUAAAUGUGCCUCUUGUUUUGCUUUAGCAAAGAGACUGGAGGCAUUUUGCUCCUGCCCUAGAGAUCCACGGAAAUUUGAACUUGAGAGAUAUGAUUUAGGGUAUUUGGCAGAAGAAAUUUCUAAGCAGUAAAGCAUUCAAAGGGUGACAGGGCUUAAAAGUUUGGAAAAUUUGCAGCCUGAUAAUGCAGUAGAAAAGAAAAAAUAUAUUCCUUGGGAGAAAUUCAAGCUGGCUACAGAAAUUUGCAUAAGCAACUAGGAGCCAAAUGCUAAUCACCAUGACAAUGGGAAAAUGUCUCCAGGCAUGUCAGAUAUCUUCAGGGCAGCCCCUCCCAUCACAGGCCAGGGGUCUAAGAGGGAAAAAUGGUUUUCUGGGCUUGGUGCAGGGCCCCUCUGCUGUGUGCAGCCUCAGGACUUAGUGCCCUGCAUCCCAGCCACUCCAUCCAUGGCUAAAAAUGGCCAAGGUACAGCUAAGGCCAUUGCUUCAGGGGGUGAAAGCCCCAAGCCUUGGUAGCUUCCACAUAGUGUUGGGCCUGCAGUUGCAAAGAAGACAAGAAUUGAGAUCUGUUACCUCCAUCUAGAUUUCAGAAGAUGUAUAGGAAUGCUGGAUGUCCAGACAGAAUUUUGCUACAGAGGCAGAGCCCUCAGGGAGAACCUCUGCUAGGGAAGUGUGAAAGGGAAAUGUGGAGUUGGAGCCCCUACACAGAGUUCCCACCAGGGCACUGCCUAAUGGGACUGUGAGAAGAAGGCUACCAUCCUCCAGACCACAGAAUGAUAGAUCCACUGACAGCUUGCAUUGUGUGCCUAAAAAUGCCCCAGGCACUCAACACCAGCCUAUGAAAGCAGCCAGAACAGGGGCUGUACCCUGCAAAGUAACAUCGGCAGAGCUAUCCAUGGCUGUGGGAGCCCACUUCUUGCAUCAGCAUGACUUUUAUGUGAGGCAUGAAGUCAAAGGAGAUCAUUUUGGAAUUUUAAAGUUAAUGAAUUCCCUAUUGGAUGUUAGACUUGCAUGGGGCCUCUAGCCCCUUUGUUUUGGCCAAUUUCUCCCAUUUGGAAUGGGCAUAUUUACCCAAUGCCUGUACCUCCAUUGUAUCUAGGAAGUAACUUACUUGCUUUCAAUUUUACAGGCUCAUAGUUAGAAGGGACUUGCCUUGUCUCAGAUAAGACUAUGGACUUAGACUUUGAGUUAAUGCUGAAAUGAGUUAAGACUUUGGGGAUCUGUUAGGAAGGCAUAAGUGUGUUUUGAAAUGUGAGGAAGAUGAGAUUUGGGAGGGGCAAGGGACAGAAUGAUAUGGUCUGGCUCUGAGUCUCCACCCAAAUCUCAUCUUGAAUUUUAAUCCUAAUUGUAAUUCCCAUGUGUCGGGGGAGAGACCGAGUGGGAGGUGAUUACAUAAUGGGGACAGUUCCCCCAUGCUGUUCUCAUGAUAGUGAGUGAGUUCUCACAAGAUCUAAUGGUUCUAUAAGGGACUUUUUCCCCUUCGAUCUGCACUUCUCUCUCUCCUGCCUAAGACCUCCGCAGCCAUGCAAAACUAUGAGUCAAUGAAACUCUUUCCUUUAUAAAUUACCCAAUCUUGGAUAUUUCUUCAAAGCAGCAUGAAAACAAACUAAUGCAUUGGCCCAUAACACCCUUCCAUCUUCAAAGUCAGAAAUGGCAGGUGGCAUCUUUCUCACAAUGCCAUCUCUCUGGUUGGACUCUUAUGUGCCCCUCUUCCUCUUUUACAAGUAUCACUGGAGUAACACUGCAAUGGCAUUUCCCUUUAAGAUAAAUGGGUUAGUAAUCUUAAUCCCUUUGCAAUAUUAAUUCCCCUUUGCCAUAGAACAUGACACAUCCAGGGGUUCCAGGGCUAAGGAUAUGAAUAUCUUUGGGGUCUGUUUUUCUGCCAAAGAGGCACAUUAUAGUGUAGCCAAUAAGGGACAGCAAAAGAAUGAAAGUAGCUUUCAAACACACUGAUUUUAAGAUUCUGGCUCUAUAGCCACAUAAAAAUUUCUAGGAAGGACUUAAAGAGUUAGAUACACUCCAUAAUAGAAUUUGCUUUCAACUUUUUAAAUCGUGCCAUCCUACCUUUGCACAGACACUGCUGCAACUACAUAAAAGCCUACUUUUGAGAGUUGGCCAUUUUCACUCUCUGGUUUAUGUAUAUUGGUUUUCUAUUGCUGCAAAAAAUUACCUCAAACUUAGCACCUUAAAAAAAUAGCCAUUAUACCUCAUACUUCCAGGUCAGAAUUCCAGCACAGUUUGGCUUGUGUGUUCACAGUAUCAUAAAACUGAAAUCAAAGUGUCAGUCCGGCUGAAUUCUCAUUGUUAGGCUACAUGGAAAUGUGUGUUGCCAAGCUCGUUCUUGUAGGUAGAAUCUAGCUCCUUGCAAUUAUGAGACCAUUCCUCAUCCCCAUGUUUGCUGUCAAUCAAGUGCUGCUCUCAGUCUCUAGAGGUUACCUACAUUUCUUGUCCGUGGUCUUGCGGUCUCCAUAAUCUCCAAGCCAGCAAGAACACAUAAAUAUGUCUGCUUUCGGUCUCCAAUUUCCCUUCUGCAAUCAGCAGGAGGAAACUCUAUGCUUUAAAAGGGCAUGUGAUUAGGCCUGGAUCAUCUCCCUAUCUCAUGGUCAACCUUGCCCUAUAGUACAGGCUAAAUCAGAUUACUCAUGCAAGUAAAAUCUAUUACUUUCAGAGUUCAGAGAAUUAAACAAGAUGUGUACACCUGAGGAGUGGAAGUCGUGAGGCAAUCUUAGAAUUCUGCCUAUCAUACUCAGCAUUACUGCUUCCUCAUUUCCCAUGAUACAACUACUUCUAAUCUUUGCACCUGAAAUCUUGACUUUUGUGUCUACCUUGACCAUGGCUCUCUUGCCUGAUAAUAUCAAUAUCUUUAAUCCAACUUUAUCAACCAUAUCUGUGAGCAAGUCAUUCUCCUGCCUUCUAUCAUCCCCCUCCCACUCCAUAGCAUAGAGAGCUUGGCCAGUCUUCUUUUUUUUUUUCCUGAACAUAAGAAAACUGCACAUUAUUGAUGGAAUCUUGAGUUAUAGCCCUAAGUUUGGAAUUGUCAGUGUAGUGUUGACAGAAGAUGGAAUUAAAAACAAGGGAUGCAAAAGAUCUGAGAUUUUCUCUGGAGCAAGUGUAGAGGUAAAAAGAGAAAAAUGUGAAGAGAAAGAAGAGGAGGAGGAGCACGUGUAAAGAAGGGAAAGGCAAUAGCUGAGAAAGGAACUUGGAAGAACCCAUCACUCACUGGUCAGUAGCUAAAGACGUUGUGCAGACAAUGUGCAGAUAUAACAACCUCAAAAUACUUUUAGGUUGAAAGAACUUAAACAUUGUUUACAAGUUUGCUUCUUUGAAACUAAAAAAUAUUUUUAAUUAAAAAUUGGAACACAUAUAGAUGUAGUCGUUCGUUAGAAAGCAUAUUCUCAACUUUUCAGACUUAGAUUGGUUGGAGAGGUUUCCCUGGGAGCCUCUUCCUAAAAGGUGACAAGGAGGCGUGGGGAAGGGAAUAGACAUUUGUUCUGAGUACGACGGGAAACAUUGCUGUGCAAAUGUUUAGAGCUGAAUGAAAAACCAAGUCACAUACAGGCAAAAUGCAGAGGAAAGAGAUAAUAAAUAAAUGAUUGAGGGUUAGAAACAAAUGAAUGAGAAUUAAAAGUCAGCUUUCUAUUCCUCAUGCCAGUGACUAGCUAAGAUAUGAGCAUUUUUUGUUUGUUUUUAUAGGAAUCCAGACAACACAUUUUCUUGCUUAACGAGGUUUGUCAGAGUCGGGCUGAAUAAGAGUUUUAAUUAGCUAGUAGGGUUAAUUUUAUCUUAUGCUUCUUGAAGUGGAAACAAGUAACAAGGAAAUGUAAAGAACUUAGAUACUGGCCGGGCACCGUGGCUCACGCCUGUAAUCUCAGCACUUUGGGAAGUCAAGGCAGAUGGAUUGCUUGAGGCCAGGAGUUCGAGACAAGCCUGGGCAACAUAUUGAAACCCCAUCUCUACUAAAAAUACAAAAAUUAGCCUUCUGUGGUGGUGCACACCUGUAGUUCCAGCUACUCUGGAGGCUGAGGCAUGAGAAUCGCUUGAACUAAGAGGCGGAGUUUCCACUGAGCUGAGAUUGUGCCAUUGCACUCCAGCCUGGUCAACAAAGAGAGACUCUGUCGCACAAAAAAAAAAUAAAGAAAGAAAGAAAAGAGAAAAUAAUUUAGAUACUUAGUAUCCUGUUGAGGCAAAAGGGAAGCUUAUUUUAACAGUACAUUUUUAUGUCACAGCUGAACAGCUCUGUCUAUAGCUUGGCUGGGCAGCUUCAUUAUUUAACAGAAUUGUGGGAGUGGGGGUAGCGCCUGGGUGGCUUCAGCCUGGGAUACGCGAAUAUGAGGUCAUGAUGAGAAAGAGAGAUUUGAUUAUGUGGGUCAUAAAAGUGGUCAUUACCAACCUCCCACAUUUGUGGAAAUGUAUCUCUCUUUCCACAGGGACUGCCUGAAAUGAAAAGUGGCUCUUUAGAAACAAGGAGGAUUUUAUCGCUCAGGCAGAAGCCUCAUAAAGGCUGCCAUGAGAUUUGCCUCGAACAGUUAGGAAGGCACCUUCAUCACAGAAGGCCUGCAAAGCUCAGAGUAAAGUGCCCAUGAGAAACCGCGGAGACAAUUAACCCCUUAUAAUAUUUCUGAAAGGAAAUAUCCAGAAUCCUGGAAGAAGAAAAUUAUCUUGUUUAAAUAGCUUUUAAUUAACUGCAAGGAACCAUGAAACCGUUUUGAGUGGAGUCAAAAGGGGCCAUUUGAGCCGCAGAGGUACUUGGCUGUACACGGCAGCCUCCUGGGGAGAUUGCUUUGCUGUCCUAUUAGAAUUCUUUUCCAGGGUUAAGGGUCAUUUUAAAGAUCCCCAUAUGGUAUUUCCAUACUCACCAAGAAAUGACACUAGUUAAAAUUACAGGAACUUAUUUUGUCCUGUUUAUUUGCUAUCAAGUGUGUUCAAAAUAUAUAUUCGAUGCUUUGUGAAGUGUGGCUUGACCAAGCUUCACAGGUCUUUACAUUUGCAGCAGUAUUUCGAGUAGACAAAAGAGAUGAAGACCAGUCAUCUUGCCCCAUUAUAUAUUAUUUCAUAGCCUCUAAACCUGAUUAAGUUGCUCUCAACUGUAGUAAAGAAAAGGACUGUAACUGCCUACCUCAAAAAGGAAAAUGUGUAGCUUUUGAUAGAUGGGAUAAAGAGACAUGUACAACCAAUAGAUAUGGUUUUAUUGUUAGUAUAAGAAACUUGUGACUUCAGCUAAUAUUGGCUAAAGUCAUUAAUACUGUUUUUUUUUCUUUCUCAGACACUAUCCCAACAACCAAAACAUUGAACUUUCGUGGCAAGCUUUGGUAGCACACAGGCCUUCAGCUAUUUUACUGUAGUGCAUAUGUUAUGUGUCCACAAAGCUACGAACAAUUUUUGCUUAAGGAAAUUGACUUUUCAUUGUGAUGAAAAUCCACGAGGACAGGAGAAAAAAAGGAGAAAAGGCCAAGAAGAAGAAAAGAAAUGUGUUUCUUACAUUCUGAGGAAAAUCAGCAGAAUAUGUGAAGUUUUUUGUUUAGUUUUUUUUUAAUUCCUGUUGCAGAUAACUUUUUUGCCUCAUUGAGAAAGAUGACUUCUGUAAAUCAUAACCCUGUAUGCUAACAGCUAGUGAUCCAAAAUGAAGACAGUUUUCCCCACCAUUUCCAGCAGGAGAGUCCAUUGGAUGAUUCUCACCAUGUCUGGGUCCUUGUGCCCAGGUUUCAGUCAAUUGCUCCUCCCAAAGGGUUGCGGUGUGAUCACUGGCCUAGCACAGCUUAAAUGCUCGGGCUUGUUGUCAUGGAGAACAAAAUACAAAGAAUGAUGAUUCCAGCAAGACCACAGGUGAAAUAUAUUCCGACGAAGAAUGAGAAAUCUAUAGCAUAAUUUGAAUUGUUGAAAACAAGGAAAGAAAUAUCAAAGGAUGCCAUUUAUAGGAUAAGAAUAGGAGGUAAUUGAAAAUUCGAUUUUAUUAGGGCAAAAGCUAACAGUUUGAAACCAGUAUAAAGCACUGGGUGUCUGGGAGAAAAGGAAAAGGAAAGGAAGUUGGGAAGGACCUCAGGCCUAAGAAUGCACAAAUGUCAUUUAUGUGGAAAUUGCACCUUCAAUUUUAAUACCAACUGAUAUCUGAUGUUUCACAGAUAUAUUAUUAUUAAUUAGAGAUGUUACAAAAUUCUGCCUAAGCAAACCCAUCUCUCCAGAUCAGGUGUAUAUUUCUAGCCAAAUUCUACUCCUAUGUGAAAGGAUACAAAGCAAAAUAAAAUAAAAUCAAGAAAUACGAAUACCCAUGUCAAGUCUCAUAUUCUUUAUCUUUGGCCAUUUCGUCUACAUUUUCCACAAUUUUUUAACCUCUCUGUUCAUGAUCUAUUUUUAAAAGUAUAAAAUUCUUCAAUGCCCAGUUUGUUGACAC